rnacentral:sRNA from 1 species
GGCGGCUGCACGAGCAGUUCCUGUGGGCAGUGGGCUCAGGGGCCUGCAACGGACCCUACCUCUUGUAGUGAUUCUCGGGGCCACGGGCACCGGCAAAUCCACGCUGGCGUUGCAGCUAGGCCAGCGGCUCGGCGGUGAGAUCGUCAGCGCUGACUCCAUGCAGGUAUUGAGGCUCUGAAGCAAGUAACUAAGAGAUAUGCCCGGAAACAAAACCGAUGGGUUAAAAACCGUUUUUUGAGCAGACCUGGUCCCAUUGUCCCCCCUGUCUAUGGCUUAGAGGUAUCUGAUGUCUCAAAGUGGGAAGAGUCUGUUCUUGAACCUGCUCUUGAAAUCGUGCAAAGUUUCAUCCAGGGCCGCAAGCCUACAGCCACUCCAAUAAAGAUGCCAUACAAUGAAGCUGAGAACAAGAGAAGUUAUCACCUGUGUGACCUCUGUGAUCGAAUCAUCAUUGGGGAUCGCGAAUGGGCAGCGCACAUAAAAUCCAAAUCCCACUUGAACCAACUGAAGAAAAGAAGAAGAUUGGACUCAGAUGCUGUCAACACCAUAGAAAGUCAGAGUGUUUCCCCAGACCAUAACAAAGAACCUAAAGAGAAGGGAUCCCCAGGGCAGAAUGAUCAAGAGCUGAAAUGCAGCGUUUAAGAGACAUGUCCAGUGGCCUUUGGAAAGGUGGUGGGGAUCCAGUUCAGGAGGGAGGGGUAUGUUUGUCUCCCAGUCUGGGCAAAGGAGUGCUAUGCGGAA